UUCCUGGAGGCGGAGAGACUGCAAAGAAGGCAGGACUUUUCUGUAGGCAGGAGAACACACAGGAAGCAAGAGGGCCAAACCCCAGAAGACUCAGUGAGAGGCAGAUGGCCAGCAGGAGGCACUGGAGAUGAGGGCCCCUUUGCAGCAUCAUGUCCUGACACAAGGAGGUUCUACGGGUGGUGGCUAUUUGCAGACCUAGGUGACUCUGAACAGAAGAGCAAUGUCUGCCCUACAGGUUGGGAUGGAUGUUCUGACACCUGCCCCUUUCCCUGCCUGCUGGGAAUGGUGGUUGCCAUCUGUUCCUUUCUGUCACUGAAAAGACUCAGUACUUCCAGGGAUUACAUUAUGAGUGACAGAAACACUGACUCCUUGGAACCAUCGUUUCUACAGUGUCUACUUUGUGAAGGCAUUGGAUUGAGGGCUGAUCCCAGGGGGGAAGUGACAGAGGGGGUCAGAACGUGCAUGAGAUCACUGGGGUCUCAGUGGAUGGGCACUGGGGAAUAAAAUAUACCAGCAUGUCCCUACUGCUCAGUAUCAGCUAGCAGAUGUAUCAUGCCGGUGUCUGACUGUAAUGGGUUUCAUUUGACUUCAAGUAUAAUCUAGCGAUUUGUGUCUAUAGUCACAAAAAGUAAUGUUAUACUAUAUUUUACAUAGUUUGCCACUAUUGCAAUUCUUACGUCAAAUGCUGAAAGAAACACAAUGUCUUUAGAAAAACAAAAUUCACAUGUUCCUCCAGUACCUUGACUGUACCUGUUCUGAUAAUGGCAUUGGAUCCCUUAUCUGGCCCAGACACAUGCUAAAAGAAAUGAACAGGAAGGUUCCCUUGGUAAAGCUGGUGUUCCUGCAAUUUUAAUAAAAUGGAAGUGUAAUCUCAGUAUCUCUCAAGUGUCCCUGUAACCUCAAUGUCUUUAAUCACAUGUUCUGUUUACUGGCAGAUCAGUUAUCAGGUAUAAUGAGUCAGCCUAAUGCUUUUAAUGGUUGAUACUGGCCUACUUUCAACAUCUUUCAGAUGACAGUUGUGUAUUUUUUAAAUGGGAAAAUGCUGCCUAUGGCCACAUAAUGACAUCUAUAGAAGGAAUGUUAUCUCCCCUUAUUUAACCUUAGCAAACUUUCCCCUCUAAGUUACAACCAAUAGGCUUCUAGUUUGUAAACUUCACUUAUCAUGCUGCUUGCCAGCCUGCAGGAAUGUCAGACUGCUAUGCUCUGAGCUCAUGCUCAGAAAAAUGUUACCUCCAGCAUCAAUGUUGUUCUGGGUGAACCUAGGAAUAGUGUAAUGGCUUUGCAUGUUUUGGAGAAGAACAAUAGCAUUCUGAAGUUGCAUUGACUUCAGAGGGCUUUGGAGGGCCCUAAAUGUGGAAUAGCUUUGAUCUUGCAGUGAUAUAACUGAGAUCAGAAUCUGGCUGUUUGAAUGUGAAAAGUCGGGCUGGAAAUACUGCAGGAUAUUAUUUGGGAAUCUGGCUCUUCCCUUAUCCUGAUCUGUCUGUUACAGCAUUUCCCAAAAUGUGGGGCAUGAAGGCAUAGCUGGGGUGAGAUGUAUACAUUUAAAAAGGCCUGCAAUGCCACAAGGAAUUGUGGAAGGAAGAUGUGACUGAUUUUAUGGUCAUGACAGGGAGGAACAGUUCAGCCUUGGAAAGGCUGGGGAAUGCUGCUGUUGUAUGGCACCCAUCACUGUCAUAGCUAAAUGCCUCAGCUGGA